rnacentral:rRNA from 1 species
GACGAAGGGGGCUAGCGUUGUUCGGAAUUACUGGGCGUAAAGCGCGUGUAGGCGGUUGCCAAAGUCGGGUGUGAAAGCCUUGAGCUUAACUCAAGAAAUGCACUCGAUACUUGGUGACUAGAGGACCGGAGAGGAUAGUGGAAUUCCCAGUGUAGUGGUGAAAUACGUAGAGAUUGGGAAGAACACCAGUGGCGAAGGCGGCUAUCUGGACGGUUUCUGACGCUAAGACGCGAAAGCGUGGGGAG